UGGACCGGGGCAGCUGCGGGCGUUUAGGGGCGCGUUGUGCUGGGCGGCGGGGACCGGGCUGGCUCGUGGUUUCCCCUGGUGCGGAGGCGAGUUGUGCUUCCUGCGGGGAGAGAGAAGGGCCUCGGGAAGCUGCUCCAUGACCCCCAGCUGUGCCGAGCCCGGGAGUCUGUCCAGCAGGAUGUCGAGUGCCACCAUGUCCCUGAGGUCACC